rnacentral:rRNA from 1 species
UAACGCGUGGGUAACCUGCCCUUUUGUGGGGAACAACUUCGAGAAAUCGGAGCUAAUACCGCAUAAUAAUAGAGGAUCGCAUGAUUCUUUAAGGAAAGAUGGCCUCUAAAGAUGCUAUCGCAAAAGGAUGGACCCGCGUCUGAUUAGCUAGUUGGAAGGGUAACGGCCUACCAAGGCAACGAUCAGUAGCCGGCCUGAGAGGGUGAACGGCCACAUUGGGACUGAGACACGGCCCAAACUCCUACGGGAGGCAGCAG